rnacentral:rRNA from 1 species
GCUUGUCUCAAAGACUAAGCCAUGCAUGUCUAAGUAUAAGUGUUAUACAGCGAAACUGCGAAUGGCUCAUUAAAACAGUUAUAGUUUAUUUGAUAAUCGAAUUUACAUGGAUAACCGUGGUAAUUCUAGAGCUAAUACAUGCUGGUGUGCCCGACUUUUCGGAAGGGCGGUAUUUAUUAGAUAACAAAUCAAUAUUCCUCUGGUCUAUUGUGGUGAUCAUAAUAACUGAUCGAAUCGCAAGGCUUUUAGCCGCGAUAAAUCAUUCAAGUUUCUGCCCCAUCAGCUUUCGAUGGUAGUGUAUUGGACUACCAUGGCGUUUACGGGUAACGGAGGAUUAGGGUUCGAUUCCGGAGAGGGAGCCUGAGAAACGGCUACCACAUCUAAGGAAGGCAGCAGGCGCGUAAAUUACCCAAUCCUGACUCAGGGAGGUAGUGACAAGAAAUAACGGACCGUGUCCUUCGGGACUCGGGAUUGCAAUGAGCCGAAUUUACACCCCUUAGCGAGGAUCGAUUGGAGGG